rnacentral:misc_RNA from 1 species
GAUGAAGAACGUAGCGAAAUGCGAUAAGUAAUGUGAAUUGCAGAAUUCAGUGAAUCAUCGAAUGUUUGAACGCGCAUUGCGACCCCUGGUAUUCCGGGGGGCAUGCCUGUUCGAGCGUCAUUUCACCACUCAAGCCUCGCUUGGUAUUGGGCAACGCGGUCCGCCGCGUGCCUCAAAUCGACCGGCUGGGUCUUCUGUCCCCUAAGCGUUGUGGAAACUUUCGCUAAAGGGUGUUCGGGAGGCUACGCCGUAAAACAACCCCAUUUCUAAGGUUGACCUCGGAUCAGGUAGGGAUACCCGCUGAACUUAAGCAUAUCAAUAAGCGGAGGA